GUCGAGCGGACAGAUGGGAGCUUGCUCCCUGAAGUCAGCGGCGGACGGGUGAGUAACACGUGGGCAACCUGCCUGUAAGACUGGGAUAACUUCGGGAAACCGGAGCUAAUACCGGAUAACACCGAGGACCUCAUGGUCCUUGGUUGAAAGAUGGCUUCGGCUAUCACUUACAGAUGGGCCCGCGGCGCAUUAGCUAGUUGGUGAGGUAACGGCUCACCAAGGCGACGAUGCGUAGCCGACCUGAGAGGGUGAUCGGCCACACUGGGACUGAGACACGGCCCAGACUCCUAC
rnacentral:rRNA from 1 species